GCCGACGUGGCGGAAUGGCAGACGCAGCGGACUCAAAAUCCGCCGCCCUCAAAAGCGUGUGAGUUCGAGUCUCACCGUCGGCACCA
rnacentral:tRNA from 1 species